GCCGGGAUAGCUCAGUUGGUA
rnacentral:tRNA from 14 species